rnacentral:rRNA from 1 species
AAAAUAGAUACCCCAGGUAGUCCACGCCCUAAACGAUGCGAACUGGAUGUUGGGUACAUUACGGUACUCAGUGUCGAAGCUAACGCGUUAAGUUCGCCGCCUGGGGAGUACGGUCGCAAGACUGAAACUCAAAGGAAUUGACGGGGGCCCGCACAAGCGGUGGAGUAUGUGGUUUAAUUCGAUGCAACGCGAAGAACCUUACCUGGCCUUGACAUCUGUCGAAUCCUGCAGAGAUGCGGGAGUGCCGCAAGGAACGACAAGACAGGUGCUGCAUGGCUGUCGUCAGCUCGUGUCGUGAGAUGUUGGGUUAAGUCCCGCAACGAGCGCAACCCUUGUCCCUAGUUGCCAACACGUAAUGGUGGGAACUCUAGGGAGACUGCCGGUGACAAACCGGAGGAAGGUGGGGAUGACGUCAAGUCCUCAUGGCCCUUACGGCCAGGGCUACACACGUACUAACAAUGGUCGGUACAGAGGGUUGCGAAGCCGCGAGGUGGAGCCGAAUCCCAGAAAGCCGAUCCCAGUCCGGAUUGGAGUCUGCAACUCG